rnacentral:rRNA from 1 species
UACGAAGGGGCUAGCGUUGCUCGGAAUCACUGGGCGUAAAGGGUGCGUAGGCGGGUCUUUAAGUCAGGGGUGAAAUCCUGGAGCUCAACUCCAGAACUGCCUUUGAUACUGAAGAUCUUGAGUUCGGGAGAGGUGAGUGGAACUGCGAGUGUAGAGGUGAAAUUGUAGAUAUUCGCAAGAACACCAGUGGCGAAGGCGGCUCACUGGCCCGAUACUGACGCUGAGGCACGAAAGCGUGGGG